UACGUAGGUCCCGAGCGUUGUCCGGAUUUAUUGGGCGUAAAGCGAGCGCAGGUGGUUUAAUAAGUCUGAUGUAAAAGGCAGUGGCUCAACCAUUGUGUGCAUUGGAAACUGUUAGACUUGAGUGCAGUAGAGGAGAGUGGAAUUCCAUGUCUAGCGGUGAAAUGCGUAGAUAUAUGGAGGAACACCGGUGGCGAAAGCGGCUCUCUGGACUGUAACUGACACUGAGGCUCGAAAGCGUGGGUAGCAAACAGG
rnacentral:rRNA from 1 species